rnacentral:tRNA from 1 species
GAGUCUAUAAUUUAAAAGGUUAAAAUAUUUCUUUGAUAAGGAAAAUUUAGGUGUUCGAAUCAUCUUGGACUUA